rnacentral:lncRNA from 1 species
GUUCUUCAUUGUGCAGAGGCAAGUGGGAAAAUGACUUUUGGCCGAAAGAAGCUCCUACAGUACCCUCUGACCCCACUGCUUUGGUGGCAAGCCAUGCAUAAGAGAAACUCCAGAGUAGUGAAAAGGGAGGAAUGCUGCCUUUCCCAACCAUGCACAAUUGAAACCAUGUACAAGAAACCAUGCACAUGCAGUGAGAAACAACUCAGAUUAACUUAG